rnacentral:rRNA from 1 species
CAGGCCUAACACAUGCAAGUCGAACGAAGGCUUCGGCCUUAGUGGCGCACGGGUGCGUAACGCGUGGGAAUCUGCCCUUUGGUACGGAAUAACUCAGGGAAACUUGAGCUAAUACCGUAUGAUGUCGAGAGACCAAAGAUUUAUCGCCAGGGGAUGAGCCCGCGUCCGAUUAGCUUGUUGGUGGGGUAAUGGCCUACCAAGGCGACGAUCGGUAGCUGGUCUGAGAGGAUGAUCAGCCACACUGGGACUGAGACACGGCCCAGACUCCUACGGGAGGCAGCAGUGGGGAAUAUUGGACAAUGGGCGAAAGCCUGAUCCAGCAAUGCCGCGUGAGUGAUGAAGGCCUUAGGGUUGUAAAGCUCUUUUACCCGGGAAGAUAAUGACUGUACCGGGAGAGUAAGCCCCGGCUAACUCCGUGCCAGCAGCCGCGGUAAU